CACGUAGGGUGCGAGCGUUGUCCGGAAUUAUUGGGCGUAAAGAGCUCGUAGGCGGUGUGUCGCGUCGGCCGUGAAAACCUGCAGCUUAACUGUGGGCUUGCGGUCGAUACGGGCAUCACUGGAGUUCGGCAGGGGAGACUGGAAUUCCUGGUGUAGCGGUGAAAUGCGCAGAUAUCGGGAGGAACACCGGUGGCGAAGGCGGUUCUCUGGGCCGAUACUGACGCUGAGGAGCGAAAGCGUGGGGAGCGAACAGG
rnacentral:rRNA from 1 species